ACCACCGACGAGCUGGACCCUCAAAGGGGCCGCAGUUGCCACUCUGAUCUCUGGAUCCAGCACCUCAGCAGGGACCCUCACGCGCUUCUCCACGGCACGACGUCACCAGGGACUGCGGCCUGUGAGCCCGUAGCUGUGCAGAUGUGUGCCACCAUGCCUGGCUCGGCCUUCAUAUUUUAUUUUGUCCUAAAAAGAAGAACUGUAGGACUGGUGACAACGCCCUGAGCUUUGACUGCCAUCAGCAAGGCCACACACACCUCCUGUUGGGGACUGACGAUACAGGCUGGGUGACUGCAGAGGUGGGGACCUCUCAGCAGCUGCCUGUGUGCUGUGGGACAGGUGGGCUGCUGGCGCUGCGUUUCUCUGCAUUGUCCUGCAGCUCACAGAGCUCACCUUUCAGGAGACUGCAGGAUUACGCUACCGAGAUGGACCAGGGUUUGCACGUCCCGGGGUCUUCUCUGGGGACCUGGAAAGAAAGCACAUGGGGCAGUCACCUAUGUAGGGUGGCAGAGCGGAUCGGAUGUUCAGGAUCUGAACAGUUCUGCAGGGAAGAGGCGGGGUCUGGCUGGUGCCUGGGGACUGGACCCUGCAGUGCCUUUGGAAAGACAGAGGUUGGCGUGCUGUGCUGCACUGCUUGGAGGCUGCCGAGGACCCGGCUCUCCGUCUGCAGAGGCCUGGCUUGAUUGUUUUGUUUGCUUCCGGUCUGGGAAUCCUGGGCACCGUACAUCGGGGGAAAUUACAAACCCAUGUGCACUGCUGGGGGUUGGUGGUGUCAUUCGUGCACCCGCCUCAGCCCGAGGCAUGAUGCCCACUGCCUGUCCGUACUGGGGUGCUGGACACAUUAAACCUGCGGUCAGAGCAUCCAGCGCCCAGUGAUGCUGUGGACACUGCUGACAGACGCAGCCUCCUGGCAGAAGCCACACAGACACCUGCCCAGGGCAAAGGUUUCAGUUUGUUUUCAUUUGUGCUUUCCCCGAGGUCAGCUGGGCAGCAUUUUCCUACAUUAAUGGUUCUGAGCCCUAAAUACUUAAAAAAUAUUUUUAAAAAACAAAAUUAAUGCUGUAAGAAGUCUUGAUUUGAAAGUGUUGUCUGUCUUUUUGUAUGUCUUUAAGGGAAGUUUACAUAUUUCCUGUGGAAUUUUAAAUGACUGUGCAAAACACAUUUCCUGAGGAACACGUUUUCCUUCCAUCGUGAGAGGAGAAAUAUCCAGGAGCAGGCUUCUGGUGCCCCUGGGAGCCGGACCCUGUGGCCACCGCAGCUCUGGUUUCUCACUGGAAAUGAGGCUCGUGGUCCCCACCUCAGGAUGCAGCAGGCUGCUCCCGGCAUGGGGAACAUAUUUUGAAGUGUAAAUGCUCGUUCCAAUGGAUUUUUAUUUUUUUAGUAACAAAAACGCCCCACAUUUCUUCCAAUCCCCACUUUUGUUGAAGGCAGUUUGCCUAGGACUCUCAGGCCUCUGGUUAGGAAAGUCUCUGCUUGUCCCGGCCUUGCCUGGCAGUCAGUUUGAUUUAAGGUGGGGACUCCUUCCUGGCUGCACAGAGGUGGGGUUGGAGGGAGGGGUUGCAGCGAGUGAUGCCUGGUGCCACAGGACUUUCCUAUGCGUUGUUUUGUGGAAUUCCAAGGAAGAGUGCUGAGUGGUUGCCUCCUCUCUGUGCAGUCAGAGGUCUGGGAGGGCAGUGAUUGACCUCUCAGCUGGGAGAGGUUACCAUGAGGGUGUUUCUCGUGUCCCAGGGGCUGUUCCCUGCAGACCUCGAUCAGAGCAGGUCAUGCCUGGCAGCAGGGUUCUGAGGCCAAGUGUAAGGGCGCAGGUAUUUCGGUGUCUAAAGAAACUUUUUAAACAGAGCGUAGCGUGUGUGCCAGUGUUCAUCAUAUUUCUUUUCUUUCCUUUUUGCAGUGCUGGAAUCAAAUCCAGGGCCUGCGUACCCCAAGCACUGGGCUGCCUCCAGCCCUGAUCACGUACUGCAGUUUCAGAACUACAGUAUGGCUGGAUCAGAUGUGUUUAAGUGUCAGUUCUGCACGGGCUCCAGUGCUCGGGAGGCGUGCGGCCUGGGGAGCUGUGGAGGAGGGUGGCAGGGAGGGUGGCCGGUAGCUGCAGGGAAAUGGGCAGGGCGGCAGGUGCCGGUGCUGAACUGAGCUUGCGGGGUGCGUCCAGGCUCUGGGCUUGCGGGUCCCACACUCUGCCCAGCGCUGUCACCAGCUGUCCCCAGCCCUUUCUGCUCUGCUGGGAUAGGGUCUUGCUUCCUGGCUUUCAUCUCAGACCGGGUCUUAAUCGCUGGGGCUAUCCUUGAUCUUCAGCCUGCAGCCUCUGCCUCCGGGGGACCGGGAUCAUUGCACCCCUGUCCACACAACUGUCAGCCCUUAAAGGUGAAAGAUCAUCCUGCCUCAGUUUACUGAGUGGCCAACUGAGAGACGCACAGGGAGAUGCUACUGUGAGAGUUAAAACUGUGCACAGGGGCAGUGUGUGCAGUGUAGCUUUGGACAUUCCAGCUCUGGCGAGCGGGACACACUUAUCCAAGGUCCGGAAGACAGGAAGGGGCACUCUGUGUCGGGAGGGACAGCCACUCCUUACCAUCUCUGUGAAGCGAUCCUCACAGGCCAUGCGGAUCUGUUCAGGCGUGGCCGGGCUCCUCACCGUGAAGUCCUCGGCCAGGCCUCUGUCCCUGCGUGCUGCAGCCACCGCGUCCUGGAUGGCGAAGAACACGGAGGACCCCAGGAACAUCCCGGACUCCCCGAGGCCCUGUCAGGAAGCACAGUGGUUUUAGAAGAGCUGACUUGAUGGCGGAAGCUGUGAGAGGCCGGCCAAGGCCUUUUCACCUGUGUGUCCUCAGCGCCUGCAGAGACUUGCAUGUGUGUUUAUUGACUGACUAUCAUAAAGCCUGCUGUUAAAUUGCUA